GACGAACGCUGGCGGCGUGCCUAAUACAUGCAAGUCGUGCGGACCUUUUAAAAGCUUGCUCUUACAAGGUUAGCGGCGGACGGGAGAGUAACACGUGGGCAACCUGCCUGUAAGACUGGGAUAACGCCGGGAAACCGGGGCUAAUACCGGAUCGUUUUUCCCCCGCAUGGAGGAAAAAGGAAAGGCGGCUUCGGCUGCCACUUAAAGAUGGCCCCGCGGCGUAUUAGCUCGUUGGCGGGGUAAAGGCCCACCAAGGCAACGAUGGGUAACCGACCUGAGAGGGUGCUCUGCAUAGUUGGGCCGGAGACACGGCCCGCACUCCUAGGGGUGGGAGCCGUAGCGAAUCUUCCCGAAUGGACGAAAUUCUGACGGAGCAACGCCGCGUGAGUGAAGAAGCCCUUCGGGUCGUGAAACUCUGUUGCCGGUGAAGAACAAGUGCCGUUCGAGCAGGGCGGCGCCUUGACGGUACCCGGCCAGAAAGCCACGGCUAACUACGUG
rnacentral:rRNA from 1 species